AUGGCAGCCCGAGACACCAGUUCAAUCUUCCUCAUCCUGAUCAUCUCCCUCGUCAUAGUCAUCGUCAUCCUGCUCGGCAUCUGCUGGAGGUUCCUCGGACCGGGCAUCAUGAGGAGACUGCUCAGGCCCAGGAGAUGUCCUUCAGAGGUGCCGGAGUACUUCAGCGGCAACAUGAGCGGCAACCUGCGUACCAUCACCUACUUCGACUACGUGACGCUCAAGAAGGCCACCAAGGAUUUCCACCAGAAAAACCAGCUGGGGAGGGGAGGAUUCGGCCCUGUUUAUCUGGGGAAGCUGGACGACGGCCGGAAAGUGGCGGUGAAGCAGCUGAGCGUGGGCAAGUCGGGGCAGGGCGAGUCGGAGUUCUUCAUGGAGGUGAACAUGAUCACCAGCAUCCAGCACAAGAACCUGGUCCGCCUCGUCGGCUGCUGCUCCGAGGGCACGGAGCGCCUGCUCGUCUACGAGUACAUGAAGAACAAGAGCCUCGACAAGAUCCUCUUCGCGGCGGCCGACGCGCCGGCGCCGACGCCGCCGUCCCUGGACUGGCGCACCCGGCACCAGAUCAUCAUCGGCAUCGGCCGCGGCCUGCAGUACCUGCACGAGGAGUCCAACCUGCGCAUCGUCCACCGCGACAUCAAGGCCAGCAACAUCCUCCUCGACGACAAGUUCCAGCCCAAGAUCAGCGACUUCGGCCUCGCCCGCUUCUUCCCCGAGGACCAGACCUACCUCAGCACCGCCUUCGCCGGCACGCUGGGGUACACGGCGCCGGAGUACGCCAUCAGAGGGGAGCUCACGGUGAAGGCCGACACGUACAGCUUCGGCGUGCUGGUGCUGGAGAUCAUCAGCAGCCGGAAGAACACCGACCUCAACCUCCCCAACGAAAUGCAGUACCUGCCCGAACACGCAUGGAGGCUGUACGAGCAGUCCAAGAUCCUGGAGCUGGUGGACGGCAGGGUGCAGGGCGGCGAGGGGUUCGAGGAGAAGGAGGUGAUGCAGGUGUGCCAGAUCGCGCUGCUCUGCGUGCAGCCGUACCCGAACUCGAGGCCGGCCAUGUCGGAGGUGGUGCGCAUGCUCACCAUGAAGACCGACCAGUCCAUCCCGGCGCCCGCCAAGCCGGCGUUCCUCGACCGGAAGAACCUCAACGGGGACAGGGACGCCGCCUCCUCGGACACCGCCACCAUGGAGAUGAUGAGGUCGCCGGCGGGCUACUGGAUGAUGACGCCCUCGCCCAUGCUCGAGGUCGACAGGCCCUACGACAUGAGCUUCGGCAAAUGA
rnacentral:rRNA from 1 species